GCGAGUCGACUCUUGUAAUAUUUAUGUGUGACGACGACGACGACGAUAGUCGAUCCGUAUAAACGAACUCGCCUCGUGCACGAACGGUGAUGCGCGACGGUCGUAUUUCACCACCGCCGCCGCCGCCGCCGCCGCCGCCGCUGCAGCUCGUUCAUUUAAUCUCGUCCGAUCCGCCAGCGCAUCUCAUUGUAUGCUAAUGUCCGACGCGAGCAAUAAAUUCACCAUCGGAAAUCGACCGCAGAGAGCUUUUUUUUUUAUUUAUACUUUUAUUCCUCUCUUUUCGCGGGUAUAACAUAAUAUUAUUGUCGUGUCGCGCGCACGUUGGCCAGCACACGCGAUAGUCGCCACGAGCGAGCGAUUGCAAAAAUUAUGACCGUCAGCUGCGAGUCCGCGAUUUUAGAGUCUCUUCACCGCUGUUCGACGACGAGCGACGCGACACGUUCAAUCAUACAUUUCUAUAAUUUUGGUAUACUAUUUUUGUUAUCGUGUAAACCUUUAUCCUAACCUAAACCGGGCGGUACUUUAACGAAAUAACCACGCGUAUACGAUCACGAAAACCGAUUACGGUUAUGAGCAUUUAUUUUUUUGUCCUUAUAACAUUUUUGAAGUUUCGCGCUUUUUUGAAUCACUGCAGCAUUCGUCAUUGGUUUCGUGUUCAGAAGUAGAAUUUUUUCCUGUUAAUUUUGAUACGAAAAAAAAAUGGAAUUUCAAACGCGAUCAGUUAAUUGGAAAUUAUAUUUGAAGUCUAAAUCGGUGGAGUGGAAUGGAAUAGAGUGAUGUAGAGGAUUAUAAAAACUGCAAAUAAUUAUAUACCAUGAGCAUACGCUAUGAAUGCAGAAGAUAUCAUUAUAAUAUAUUAUGUGCGUUACAAUUUAAAACGGACGUUAUUCAAGUAUUACGUAUUAGGUUUUGUAACGGUAGAGUUUUUACACGUGUGUUUUGUGUUUGGCAGAAUUUCUAAUGGGGCACCCGAAGGUUUCUGCCAUGCCCCGGUCGGGGGAUGGCGGCAUCUUUCUCCAGACAGUCCGCCUGCCCGGAGAAAAAUUCCGGCCGAGGAUCGAACCAGCGACGGCGCGCGUAGCAACCGACGCCUUAGACCUUAAUAUAAUAUAAUGUACCUAACGCUUACAUUAUAAGUAUAAUAGGCUAGUCCUUGCACUACUAUGCUAACCACGCUUACGGUAAUUCCGGGAUUCGAGUUAUUGUUCUCGAUGUUAUUCAGUAUUAUUCUAAUGAUUGAUUAUUCAUUAUAUGUAUUAUUCGAUUGUAACCAUGAUUGUAUUAUAUUUAUUUAGUGGUAUAUUAUUAUAAAUGUAUUUAAUUAUAUUGUGGUUUUAAAAUUCAGUGAUACGGUUUGGAGUGCUCUUAAAGUCUUAAAUGCCGAAACAUCACAGUUGUGAUCUACUAUUAGCUGUAUUAAA